AUUGAACGCUGGCGGCAGGCCUAACACAUGCAAGUCGAGCGGAUGACGGGAGCUUGCUCCUUGAUUCAGCGGCGGACGGGUGAGUAAUGCCUAGGAAUCUGACUGGUAGUGGGGGACAACGUUUCGAAAGGAACGCUAAUACCGCAUACGUCCUACGGGAGAAAGCAGGGGACCUUCGGGCCGUGCGCUAUCAGAUGAGCCUAGGUCGGAUUAGCUAAUUAGUGGGGUAAUGGCUCACAAAGGCGACGAUCCGUAACGGGUCUGCGAGGAUGAUCAUUCACACUGGAACUGAGCCACGGUCCAGACUCCUACGGGAGGCAGCAGUGGGGAAUAUUGGACAAUGGGCGAAAGCCUGAUCCAGCCAUGCCGCGUGUGAAGAAGGUCUUCGGAUUGUAAAGCACUUUAAGUUGGGAGGAAGGGCAGUAAGUUAAUACCUUGAUGUUUUGACGUUACCGACAGAAUAAGCACCGGCUAACUCUGUGCCAGCCGCCGCCGUAAGAC
rnacentral:rRNA from 1 species